AGUGAACGCUGGCGGUAGGCCUAACACAUGCAAGUCGAACGGCAGCACAGUAAGAUCUUGCUCUUACGGGUGGCGAGUGGCGGACGGGUGAGGAAUACAUCGGAAUCUACUUUUUCGUGGGGGAUAACGUAGGGAGACUUACGCUAAUACCGCAUACGACCUACGGGUGAAAGCAGGGGAUCUUCGGACCUUGCGCGAUUGAAUGAGCCGAUGUCGGAUUAGCUAGUUGGCGGGGUAAAGGCCCACCAAGGCGACGAUCCGUAGCUGGUCUGAGAGGAUGAUCAGCCACACUGGAACUGAGACACGGUCCAGACUCCUACGGGAGGCAGCAGUGGGGAAUAUUGGACAAUGGGCGCAAGCCUGAUCCAGCCAUACCGCGUGGGUGAAGAAGGCCUUCGGGUUGUAAAGCCCUUUUGUUGGGAAAGAAAAGCAGCAGGUUAAUACCCCGCUGUUCUGACGGUACCCAAAGAAUAAGCACCGGCUAACUUCGUG
rnacentral:rRNA from 1 species